rfam:Neotoma lepida isolate 417 scaffold_494, whole genome shotgun sequence.
GCCUGGCUAGCUCAGUGGGUAGAGCAUGGAACUCUUAAUCCCAGGGUCAUGAGUUUGAGCCCCACAUUGGGCA